UGGUAUCAUCAUUUCACCCACAUAGCAUGUGCAAAAAGUUGAGAGGGUUACGAAAAAACUGGAUGCACUUCGUGUACAAAAUGGACAAUCGAUCUCUUUCGAAGUACCACAGUUUCGGAUGAAAACUCACCUGUUACAAAGGCAUUUUAUUUUUUAAAUGACCUAAGAUUUACCAAAUUGAAUAUAAUGAUAAAACACACUAA
rnacentral:lncRNA from 1 species